rnacentral:rRNA from 1 species
AUACAUAGGGGGCGAGCGUUAUCCGGAUUUAUUGGGCGUAAAGGGUGCGUAGGUGGUUUCUUAAGUCAGAAGUGAAAGGCUACGGCUCAACCGUAGUAAGCUUUUGAAACUAAGAGACUUGAGUGCAGGAGAGGAGAGUAGAAUUCCUAGUGUAGCGGUGAAAUGCGUAGAUAUUAGGAGGAAUACCAGUUGCGAAGGCGGCUCUCUGGACUGUAACUGACACUGAGGCACGAAAGCGUGGGGAGCAAACAGGAUUAGAUACCCUGGUAGUCCACGCCGUAAACGAUGAGUACUAGCUGUCGGGGGUUACCCCCCUCGGUGGCGCAGCUAACGCAUUAAGUACUCCGCCUGGGAAGUACGCUCGCAAGAGUGAAACUUAAAGGAAUUGACGGG